CUUUUUUUUUUUUUUUUUUUUUUAGCAGCAAUUGGCAAGUUUGGGUUUAUGUGUGUAUGGUCUCCUGAAAAAAACAAAGAUUUCAAAUGUGUCUGCAAUGUGCAGUCUUAAUAGUGCGGUCUUCACAGCUGUUUUCUUGUGCUAUAAAGUGAGCUUUUCUGUGCUUUCUGUACAGUGAAGAAUCCUAGACACACAGAUUUUUAAAUCUGUAGGAGCCUGUGGGAGUUCAGUGCAAUUCUGCAUUGCCCAGACUAAAGAAAUUCACCCUCACUUCCUAAAAGCUAGCAAUCACAGACCAGGUUUGUACUACUAAGUGAAAAUGUCUUGAUUAUAUACAGUCUGGUCAGCCACAUGGUUAGCAUGUAAAUAAUUUAUGUUGAUGUAGUGUAUUCAUUUUGUCUUCUUUGAUUCAGAUAUUUUACUCUGAAUAAAAUGUAGUGUAGAAGAGGCUCAAGAAAAGCCUUGCUGUGGGAAACUGGCAUUUAUAGUUUAAUAGGAGUUCAGUAGCUAAGAAAUGUUUUAAUAAUAGCUGAAGUCAUGUGCUGACCCUUAUUUCACAUUAAAAUGACCGGAGUUUGACACUAAGAUGACAGCUGGUUAAUACAACUUGAGAUUUUAAAGUGCUUGAGUAUAUGUAAAUAUUAUGACUGAUGUCCUAAGUGUGUUGGAAGAUACUUCAAGAAAUGUCCUCAUUCUAACAGUUUACUGCAGUCCCCAGUUUUUGAGAAUAAUAUUGCAGAAGAUAGUUUAUCUGCUGUAUUCAGAGGACGUAGAUAGAAUAAUUAAGAAUUAUGACUGACCCCUGUAAAAACAGAUAGUCUGCAUUUUGUACUUCUACUCAACUGUACUGUAAGAACUGUUGAGUAUAAAACCUGAGAUUUCAGAUUUGUCUAGUUUGAUCUCUUAAAGCUUGAGAAGUAGAUGUCUUUGAAGUCUGUUUUUUAUAUGGAAAUAUAUAUAUAUCAUUCUUUAGAAUAUGCAGUGAAUACAUUAAUAACAUUUUGGUUCAGUCACUGGAAACAAAAGGGACAAACUAUUUAAAGUCAAAAACGGUAAGUUGGUGAGCAAGAGUCAUUGUAUUUUGGAACUCUGAAGUUUCAAAGAAGGAAGUGUCACCUGUUAAAGUACUUAAAGCAUUUCAGGUUUCCACAAGUUGGAGCCUUUUCAUGCUUCUUUACUCUAAAACAUUUUACAAGAUGUUUCAUGUAGUCUAGCGUCUUUCUUUUGUAUAUUGCAUAAUUUAUUCUGUUGUAAAAUAUACAGAUUUUUAUAGAAAUACCUAUUAUUUUUCGACAGAAGUAGAUUAAAGAAUAAGAAGCAAUAAGCCAAAAUUGGGUAUGGCCAUUAAAGUAGGAUUUGAAUAGGGUAGAGGAACUAUUAAGGUGGCAAAACAUAACACUUCCACCAUCAGAAAAUCCAUUGGGGAAUUAUGAGAGCUGGAAGGAAUGAAGUUUGUUUUUUCUGGGAAUUUGCAUCUCAUAGGUUGGUUGCAUGUUCCAACCAGAGCUUUUCCUGCUAUGGGGCAUUUUACAGUGUGCCAUAUCUAUGGCAUAGAUUAUAAUGUAUUAGAACAUGGUGGUUCUACAUAUUGGAAUAGGGGUUUCUUUGGGCUGAUUUUAAGCAUCUUUUUGCCAGGGCUGGUUUUCAGUGGAUCCUGAAAUGGUUGUGAGAACACCACGGCUGGUUGAGGGGAAGAGAGAAGGCGAGUGACAAAGGAUGAGGAGGAGGGAGCUGUGGCAGCCCUGUCUAAGAGCAGCAUUGGUUUUCCCAGUACUCUUUUGUUUGCCUGCUACCACUGUUCAUGAAGUUUCUCAGAAACUCGCUGUCUUUUCCAGCAUAUCAUACAUGUUUGUUUUUUUAAAGUAUUGGUAUUUGCAAGUCCAUCCUUGGAUGAGCUUUGU
ensembl:lncRNA